GCCGAAGUGGCGGAAUUGGUAGACGCAAGGGACUUAAAAUCCCUCGUUCAAUUUUGGACGUGUCGGUUCGAGUCCGACCUUCGGCACUA
rnacentral:tRNA from 1 species